AGUCCCCGCAGUCGGAUGCCAUCAAGUACUGUCCAGAGUCGCUCCGGUUGAAUUCGUCAGCAGGAUGAAAUCGCUGGUUUCAGUUGGCGUAUUUCUGGCUUUAUUAACGCGUGUCCAUUCCGAUAUCGUGUUGACUCAGCCCUCAGCGGAGACUGUCAGACCCGGAGAAUCCGUAAGGCUCACAUGUAAAACCAGCGGGUUUGAUCUCAGUAGCUACUAUAUGUACUUGGUCCGUCAGGUCCCUGGACAGGGGCUGGAAUGGCUCCUUGCAUACUACACUCCUUCAAGCAAGUAUUUCGCCCCGGGCAUCCAGGACAGAUUCACGCCGUCCAAAGACUCCACAAACAAUAUGUUCAGCGUUGAAGUGAGCCGGCUACAACCGGACGAUACCGCUGUCUAUUACUGUGCGAGACACAGUGCGGCGAACAGGAGUCUAGGCUGUACAAUAACGGCAAUAUAUCACUGUGAUAAUAUGGGUUACUGGGGAGGAGGCACCCUGUUGACGGUGACAGCUGCGGAAGAGUCUGCACCCACCGUCUACCCUCUCUUUUCCUGUGAACAAUCCAGUGCCGUUGAAACAGUCACCGUCGGCUGCUUGGCGAAGGAUUACUCCCCGGUGGGUAUCAGCCUCUACUGGGAGAAAGAUGAAGCGAACAUCACAACAGGAAUGAAUACCUAUCCGGCUGUGUUGAACAAGCAAGGAACUUAUACACGCAGCAGCGGGUUAACUGUCAGCGAGACAGCAUCGGGGAGCAGCGCCAUCUAUUGUGUCGUUCAGUAUAAAAAUACAGUCCAGAAAAUUCCAGUGCUACCUCGAGAUCUAGUGGUGAUUCAUCCAACUGUCGUUAUCUCCGUGAGCUCCCUUGAAGAUAUUAGGAGGAGCAGAAGAGGGACCGCAGUAUGUUCUAUAAACGAAUUCCAACCGCAGCAAUUCACCGUGCACUGGCUGAAAGAAGGACAGCCGGUGGAUUCCGACGUCGUCACAUCCCCUCCUUUUAAGGUGAAUGGAAACUUCUCAGCGACAAGCCAAAUUACAUUCCCUGCGACGGACUGGUUCGAAGGCGUUGUCUAUACCUGCCAGGUUACGCACAAAAACUACAUGCAAAGUCGAAAUAUCAGCUAUAAUCAAGAUACAUGUCCAUGCGAAGAAGUACAAGUAACCAUUCAAGAACCACCAGUGGAGCAAGUCUUACUAGAGGCGAGCGUCACCUUAACAUGCGUCAUCACUAAUGCGCCUUACGGCAUCCAAGUGACUUGGAUGGAAGGAAAAAAAGAGCUGAAAUCAGAGAUUGCCUACCAGCCAGGAAAUUCCCUCCAUAGCGUGAUCAGCAACCUUAAAACUUCUACACAAUCUUGGUUGAGUGGGGCAAUAUUCGAAUGCUUGGUGAGCCACGAAGAAAUGCCGACCCCAAAAAGAGCAUACAUCCGCAAGGAAGAAGCCUUGCAUCCUCAGCAACCUUCCGUCUCUGUCCUUCUUCCGCCAACAAGUGAAGAGUCCACUGAGAACUCCGUCAUCCUCACCUGCUUAGUGAGAGCGUUCUCGCCUCGCAGGAUUUUCGUCACUUGGACGGUCGAAGACACGCCGGUAGAUUCACGAAUGUACAAGAAUACUGCAGUUGAGGCAGAGAACGGCAACAAUUCAUUCUUCAUGUACAGCUUGUUGUCUGUUCGUUCGGAACAGUGGUUGCGAGGUGCUUCUUUUUCCUGUGUUGUCGCACAUGAAACCCUCCCGAUGAAGACCAUCGCAAGAACCGUUAAUCGGUCCAGUGGUAAACCCAGUUUUGUCAACAUAUCCCUUGCACUGAUGGAUACUGUCGAUAAUUGUCAAUAAUAAUUUUAUCGUUUUCAUCACAUGUUUAAAUAAGUAUCAAUAAAUAUUUUCCAGC